GGAAUAAAUGGACAUGUUUAACAUUUGUGUUAUUGUUUAUUUUAUAUUCAAGUGUUUUGAAGGCAUUUUAGCCCCAUUUACUUGUUCUUGAUAGCUGCAUAUUACUUUCUAUUUUUUUAAAAAAAUCUUUUAAGGUUUGGUCAGACCACAAGGAUGAACUUAUAUUUGUUAAUACAUCAGAUUUUUCCUACUACUAUUGUUAAGCAAUAAGAAUCAUUCACCAACUCUUCUUACGUACUAUUAGAAAAAGACAGAAGAGGAAAACUCGAGUCAAAUUAAUGCUGAUAACACAUAUGGCCCUAAUUUAUGGCAAUGCAGAUAUUGACAAUUUAUUAAGUUUAACAAGCAAACGACAUUUUCCAAGGCGGCGUACCCCCAAUUUCCAGUUGGCAACAAUGCGGGGAAUCAAUCGCUCGUCGAUCUCAACAAGCAAAUGACCCUUUCAACACAUCCCAUUUUUCAAUCACAGACGUACUUUUCCUAUGCUGCAUUGUUCUGUUUCCU
rnacentral:lncRNA from 1 species